AGAGUUUGAUCAUGGCUCAGGACNNNNNCUGGCGGCGUGGAUUAGCAUGCAAGUUGAGCGACGGUAUUCCUUCGGGAGUAUACGGAGCAGCGAACGGGUGAGUAACACGUGACAAUCUGUCCUUACAUUCCGGAUAAUUGGGAGAAAUCCCUUGUAAUACGGGGGAGGGUCUCUGAAGGGCAUUCUUUGGAGAAGGAAGGCGCAAGCCGUGCAAGGAGGAGUUCGCGGCCUAUCAGGUAGUUGGUGAGGUAAUGGCUCACCAAGCCGACGACGGGUAGCUGGUCUGAGAGGAUGGUCAGCCACAUUGGAACUGAGACACUGUCCAGACUCCUACGGGAGGCUGCAGUCGAGAAUCUUGGGCAAUGCACGAAAGUGUGACCCAGCGACGCCGCGUGAAGGAUGAAGGCCCUCUGGGUCGUAAACUUCUUUUAUGGGGAAAGAAAAGCUCGCAAGAGCCUUGACGGUACCCCAUGAAUAAGCCACGGCUAACUACGUGCCAGCAGCCGCGGUAAUACGUAGGUGGCAAGCGUUGUCCGGAUUUACUGGGCGUAAAGCGUAUGCAGGCGGAUGGUUAAGUAGGAAGUGAAAGGUUGGAGCUCAACUCCGACACUGCUCCCUAUACUGGCCGUCUUGAGUAGCGGAGAGGAAGAGGGAACGACACGUGUAGCGGUGAAAUGCGUUGAUAUGUGUCGGAACACCAAUGGCGAAAGCACUCUUCUGGACGCAAACUGACGCUGAGAUACGAAAGCUAAGGUAGCAAACAGGAUUAGAUACCCUAGUAGUCC
rnacentral:rRNA from 1 species